CUUUUUUCUUGUUCUUAGGAAUCAAUUGUUGAUUUAAUAAAUGGACGUCAUGGGGGCUCCUUCCUGGAUGUCUUGGGUUUAGAUUUCUUCAGGAGCUUGAGUGCAAACCUGCACAGUGACAUCAUAUAUUCAGAUGAUGAUGAUGAUGAUGAUUUUUAUCCACUCAGUACUGCUCAUAGGCCUUUACAACCACAUCCACGAAUAAGACAACUUACUGAUGAGGAGGCUGAGAAACAUGCAAAAGAACUUAUAGCAGAGGAGGAACGACGUAAGGAGAAAACUGAGAGGAACAAGCGUAAAAAAUUGCGUAAAAAAGAAAAGAAACGAUUAGAAAAGGAGAAUG